AGAGUUCAGUGACCUUGUUUCAAGAGGCAGGAUGAUCUCAUGCUGUUCUUCCCUUCUUGUGGGCAUUUCAGUUCCCUUAUAACGUGGUGAAGAGAACACAUCAGGACCGAACAAGGAUGAUCCUGAUUGCCCCAGCUUACCCAAGACAGCAGUGGUACACAGACCUGCUUCUGCUGUUGAGUGGAGUUGGCAAGGAUCUCCCUUGGUUUCCAGACCUAUUGUCUCAGCAGCAGCGUAGGAUCCUUCAUCUAGAUCCUCAGUCUCUGCAUCUGACAGCCUGGGCAAUUGGACCUUGACUGAUAUUGAGCAAUCCUGUUCCUUGUUAGUUCAAAAUGUAUUGCUCCAUUCAAGAAAUGGCCAUUGCAGCUACGAAAGUCAUGGUCUUGGAAAGUCACGGAAUCUCUGACUUCCACGACCUCCAUGACAGAAUUGCAGCCUUAACCAUUGAAUGUUAGAAGUUAGCAGCAGUCCCUGUGCCUGCUCUUUUAAGGUACCGUUUUAAUGGAGCAGUGGGCAGCAUCUUUUGCUUGCCUUAAACGUGUAGUUAUUGGGGAAAUAUGUAAGGUGGUAGUUGGAAGUCCAGUCCAGACCUUUACUAAACAUUGUCCAUUGGAUUUGGCUUCAAGAGCAGAUGCCAUGUUUGGCAGAGCAGUGCUUCAAUCAUUAUUUAAUUAGGAUUCUGUUCUGUCCUCCUGAAUUUUGAGCACUGCUUGCCAAACUACCUGUAAGUGAGAGUUUGCAGAGCCGCUCAAAGAAGAAAUGUAGGUUGGUUACUUGUAACCAGGAUUCUUCAAGAACACUCUGAAUAUUCACCCAUCCUGCCCAUCUUUCCCUCUUUUUAAGAGUCCUAAUUUGGUUUCUCUGGGUUAGCGGUGGAAGGAACUGAAGUGGUAGAGGGAGCGGUAUCCCUUUAUAUAGUCAUUUUCAGAACAUUCGGAGAUGCUGAAGGGGGAGGGGAAGGAAGGGGUGGGGUGCACAUGUGCACUAACGGGCCCUGUUUGGAGAUGAUCCUGCCAUUGGGCUGCACCAGGCAGAGCAAUCCCCAUAAAUGUGAAUAUGCAGAAUCAUUUCGAAGAACUCUGGUUACAAGUAAGUAACUUGCAUUUACUUACAUUAUAGUAUGGGUGGUUCUUCAAGAUCUUAUCAUUUGUGUAGGUCCCAUGACUCAUCCUCUAUCCCUGCUCUUUCCUUAUCUGGAGUUCUAAAUUAGCAAGGGAAUUGAGGGACAGUUGUGGCUGCUGUGCCCAUUAUGCCCACAGGUGGUGAACCUGACGACAUGCAGCGUGCAGCCACAACUUAAAAGAUGCUCCCAUUCAAAAGCUCUGACGCAUGCACACAGAGUGGGGUCAACACAGAUGACAUCAUUUUGAAGAAUCACAAUUAAUAAAAGGCAAAUAACUGAUCUUUCCCUGUUCUAUCCUUAUUAAUUAAGCAUAAUUCUAAUUUGAAGGAAUUAUUUUUAAUGUUGAAAAUUCACUAUAUAUAAUAGACCAAUUCUAGGUAAAGGCUUAAACCUUCAAUGUGUGUGGUUUGAAUAUGCUUGUUUUCCUAAUUAACUUACAUUCUUAUAUUUGAAGUGUUAUGUACAAAAAUGACAUUAAAAAUUGUGUAGCUAAUU